rnacentral:rRNA from 1 species
GAUGAACGCUGGCGGCGUGCCUAAUACAUGCAAGUCGAGCGAACAGACGAGGAGCUUGCUCCUCUGACGUUAGCGGCGGACGGGUGAGUAACACGUGGAUAACCUACCUAUAAGACUGGGAUAACUUCGGGAAACCGGAGCUAAUACCGGAUAAUAUAUUGAACCGCAUGGUUCAAUAGUGAAAGACGGUUUUGCUGUCACUUAUAGAUGGAUCCGCGCCGCAUUAGCUAGUUGGUAAGGUAACGGCUUACCAAGGCAACGAUGCGUAGCCGACCUGAGAGGGUGACCGGCCACACUGGAACUGAGACACGGUCCAGACUCCUACGGGAGGCAGCAGUAGGGAAUCUUCCGCAAUGGGCGAAAGCCUGACGGAGCAACGCCGCGUGGGUGAUGAAGGUCUUCGGAUCGUAAAACUCUGUUAUUAGGGAAGAACAAAUGUGUAAGUAACUAUGCACGUCUUGACGGUACCUAAUCAGAAAGCCACGGCUAACUACGUG